rnacentral:lncRNA from 1 species
CUUCUGUUCAAAUCUAUCUGUGCUGUUCCGUGUGCCUUCAGCAGAUCUCAUUUGUGAGACGUCCGUCAGCUGUCAGAAAAGCUUGAAUGCUCUAAUGGUCUGCUGAAUUCAACACACCAUCAGGAAAUAAAGGUAAUGAAAAAGGAUGAGAGAUUUCUGUGCGAGAUGGAGGAACAGAAGGAGAUGAUAUCACUCCUCCUGUGAUGCACUCGCCCCCUUUCCACCAAGCCUUUGCCAGUGCUGCAGUUUCUAUCUCUAUAAUAUUCAAGUAAUCCCCGCUGAGGAAAGUCGAGGAGUCGGCAACACACUGUCACUUCAACUCUGUUUCUCAGGCUCGUGGGAAAUCAAAGAAGAGAAAGCAAGAAAGAGACAGAGAGGAAGCUGGAACAGGAGAGGGGAAGGCGUAGAGAGAAAAUGAUCACACUAAACAAACAAAUUUGCCACAUUCGUGCGAAAGCGGCAAAUGCUUCCUAUCCACCAUCACAGAAGUUCUGUGUUACUUAAAGGGUUAGUUAACAUUGACUUCCCAUGUCAAUGUCAUUAUAUUUCUUUCUCUUUUUUGGACAAUAAAUAAAUAAAUAAAUACUGUUCAAAUACAUCCAUGCUCAUUUAAAAAAAAAAAAAAAAUUAGAUGCAAGACUGUCAACGAAUGGUUCCAUGUGACACAUCGCAUGUGUUCUAGGAGUAUACAAUAGGGUUUAAUAAGAAACAUUAAAUUGCAUGUACUAAAUAAAAGCCUGACCUUGACUUUUAGUUUUCAUGCUUGGCUGUGCUUUCAUGAAACUCUAUUAGGGCUGUAAUUCAUGCCGACUCACCCAGAAAUGGCACACAAGUGUACCGUUCUGAUAAAUCAAUAUUAAUAAAUCAUAAUAGAAAUUCCCCCCAAAAAGUAUCCAUCUAGU